CUACCGGAUAAAAUAUUGGGUUCGAUAUUCUGAGAGAGCGAGGUGAAUCGGUUCUUCGGGCCAACAACAAUGUGGAUACUCUUUUCCGCCCGUUGUCGGAGGUAUUGGAUGUCGGGGAUUGGAUAUUUGCCGGGAUCGAUCUGGAAAUCAGUUGGUGAAGAGCGAAAUGGAAGCGCAAACGGCGCGGCUAACGAACGAGGCGAAGAGAGUGCGUGGGGGCGUAGGAACGGUCCCCCUCGUCACGACUUCCUGCCAAUUGCGGACAAUUUGCGAUCAUCUAUGAUCUCCCCCCUCGUCGCUCCGUCGACGAAACAUGGUGUGGACGGUGCUUAAGAGUUAACGCGGCACGAUUCUUUUUUUCUCUCCCUCCACUCUUUCCCUCUUUCCUAAUUCGCUCUUUCUCGCUUUACACGAGACACCGUGCCAUCGGCGACGGCCAAGCGUUAACGCGUCCUACGCGGCUCACUUCCCACGUGACGUAACCGAGGAAAGGAACGACGAGCGUUGAACGUCGCGUUUCGAAUACGUACGCCUAUCAUCAUCCCUAUCUCCGCUCGUGCGUGCAAUUUGUGCAACGAGGCUGAUGCUCGAAACGCCCGUUUUUUCCUUCC